GGCAGCAGCUAAGAAUAUUCCACAAUGGACGGAAGUCUGAUGGAGCGACGCCGCGUGCGCGAUGAAGGCCGUGAGGUUGUAAAGCGCUUUUCUUGAGGGGGAACAACACAUUCAGGGAAUGGGAUGUGGAUGACGUGAAUCGAGGAAUAAGCCCCGGCUAACUACGUGCCAGCAGCCGCGGUAACACGUAGGGGGCGAGCGUUGUUCGGAAUCAUUGGGCGUAAAGGGCGCGCAGGCGGCCCGGUAAGUCUGGUGUAAAAUGGUCGUGCUCAACACGAUCAUGCGCUGGAACCUGUCGGGCUAGAGUCAACGAGGGGAUGCCGGAAUUCCAGGUGUAGGGGUGAAAUCUGUAGAUAUCUGGAAGAACACCGAUGGCGAAGGCAGGCAUCUGGCGACUGACUGACGCUGAGGCGCGAAGGUGCGGGGAGCAAACAGGUUUAGAUACCCUGGUAGUCCGCACAGUAAACGAUGUGCACCAGGUGGCGGGCAGCAGUGCUCGGUACCGAAGCAAACGCAUUAAGUGCACCGCCUGGGGAGUAUGCCCGCAAGGGUGAAACUCAAAGGAAUUGACGG
rnacentral:rRNA from 1 species